UACGGAGGGGGCUAGCGUUGUUCGGAAUUACUGGGCGUAAAGCGUGCGCAGGCGGUUUUGUAAGUCUGUCGUGAAAUCCCCGGGCUCAACCUGGGAAUUGCGAUGGAGACUGCAAGGCUAGAAUCUGGCAGAGGGGGGUAGAAUUCCACGUGUAGCAGUGAAAUGCGUAGAGAUGUGGAGGAACACCGAUGGCGAAGGCAAUCCCCUGGGCCUGCACUGACGCUCAUGCACGAAAGCGUGGGGAGCAAACAGG
rnacentral:rRNA from 1 species